UCAUACCCAUGGGAAGCAUGCAUCUGUAAAUGAGAUAUCAUAUAGUAACAUCCACUAUCAAGCAUUCCCUUGACCCUUUAUAAUCCCUUGGCUUCUACUUGCUCAACAAUUUAUAAUCAUAAUAACAAGAUAUCACAUGUGAUGAAGUCACAAAGAUUAGAGAUGCAGCUGUUGAGUUUCAAUUAGCAAUUCCCGAAGAUCAAUAGCCCAGUUCGGUCAACAAGCGUCUGAAGCAAAAGCAACAGUCCUAUUAUUCAUAAAAACCCAUAACAAAUCGUAAAACCAAUCCCAAAAAAUCUAGCAAAAUCCAAAUAACCCAUGACCACUAAUCUUUAGGUUAGUUAAUUAGAAUAAAUAAAAAAGACUAAUCAAUUAAAUAAAUAAAUAAAAGAAAUGGGAGCAAUCGAACAUAAAACAUCCAAAUCAUGAAAACUAUUGUUGCCAGUGUCUAAGUUACCAACUCCGUUUGAUAGUUCGUGUGCUGCCAUAUGAAGUGUGGUCACUGUUCAAAUUUCCUAGUUGAGUAGCCACACACAAGAAAAGGUGAGGG
rnacentral:lncRNA from 1 species